UCGACUUUUUUAUGUGUGUGCUUAGGCUAAUUUGAGCCAGGCUGUCUGUCACUUGCAGAAGAAAGAGUUCUAACAUCACCAUGGCUGCUGUCAUGUCCACCAAAUCGUGACCACCAUCAGGCCACCCUGGUCUAAUGAUGAGCACCUAGUAACCCAUGUGAGAAAACUCCAGACUCACCUGUUCCCUCACCCUCCACCUCUUCUAACUGCUUCUCAGAGACACCCCGGAGGAGACUUUAAGGCAGGUGGCCCAUCUGUCCCAGGCACCCCUCCCUCGUGCGUGCCCCGCAACCCAUUCCCCCGCUUUGAUCCCUUCAGGAAAAUCUCUCCAGGUUUUCCUUACUUCUGCUUCGUUUACUUGGUAUUCUUAGUCUCGGAGCUGAUAAGCAACGAUUCCAGAAAGAGGACCACGUUUGGUGAUAAGCGCACAGGAAUACAAGGGAGGAGACUUCGUUUUAGUCCCGACUCCGCCACUAGAUUUCUGAACUUUGGGAACCUUUGAGGAUGUUGGACCUCAGUUGUAAAACCUUCUCAUUCUGAGGUCCAUAGCCCCAAAAGGUGUCCCCAGAAAUAGAAGGAGGGGAUCCCUGGUUGCUGAGAAGGUAGGAAACGAUCAGGGGUGGCUGGAGUCAGAGGCCUGAAUAUUAUCACCACCUUCUAGCUUCUCUUCAGCCCUCCUUUCUCUAACGCCUCCAUUUGUAGGCUCCCGUUGUGUGGUCACAUGACAGCUCUAGCAGCUCCAGAGACCAGGUGCCUCUGGGUUCCCAGCCUGGGGAGCGCGCUGUCUGAGCAUCUCCAGCAAAAGCCCUACACUACUCUAACUGCCCUAGCUUGGGGCACGUGACUCCCUGAACCAGGUGCUGGCCGGGACAAUGCCGUGUGCUGGCUGACUUAGGCCUGUGUCAUAUGCUGCACCCCCAAUUCUGAGGCACUGGAGGUGGGAAGGCUCCCAGACUUCGGGGCUGUUGCUGAUAGAAAGGAGGACGGCUCUUGAGACGCACUUGUGUCACACUCAUCAUUUCAUCAACAGGGAGGACAUGAGCCUGGAGCUGCCAGAGACCACGAUGGGAAGGGCACCCAAGAGAGAGAAGGCAGCAUAGAGAUGGGGAAACUGGGCACAGAGAGGUUGAGUGACCCACCCAAGGUCACACAGCUAGGAAUCCUCCACGUGCCAGGACUCUGAAGGAGACGGGUGGUCGCCACAGUCCGGAUGUGCCAUAGAUGUGCCACUUCGUGCAGAGGCAGCAUGAACUCGCCUUAAAUCCCCUGGGGAGACAAAGUCGUUUUCUUCUCAGUGAUUCUGGUUACAGACAGAGGCUCUUUUGGGUGCUGCCCUUUGACACCGUGAAACCCUCGCUGCUCUGCCUUCCUCCCCACAGAGGGAGAAAACCUCAAGCUCGGCGCCCCGAGCAGGCAGCUCUAUGGAAUAUCAUUUGAUUUGGUUUGGCUGGGUUUGUUUUAACUUAGGGCAAGCAACACUGGUUUUCCAUUUCUUUGUCUUGGAAAUGAAUUUCAGUUUAAAAAGGAAGUCAUUUUGGGGCGCCUGGGUGGCU